GGCAGCCUGGCUCCGGGUGCUCGGUUCCCGGCUGAGCCGGGGAGGCUGCGGGUCGAUCCGUGAUGGCUCCGUCUGGUGGGGCUGUCCCCGGACCGUCCUCUCGCUUCCCGACAGGCCCUGCUCUCAGCCACAUUUCCUCUGAGCUCAGCAUACAGAGGGUCCCUAAAAAUAGCAGCUACUCCUCAAGAAAAUGGCUCUGGAGAGGCUGCAGGGAAGGGGCUGAGAGUCCCCGCCCCAGGCAGGGGUUCCGCAGGGGUCGUACUAUGUUCAGGUGGCAGCUUAAGAAGGCCCAUGCACAGCCUUGGAGGAUUGAAUGAAUUAGAAAGCUGAAGGAAAUGGUGUGAGAUGAGCGGAGUUUGCUUCAGGCUGAAAGCGCGCGCGGUCCUGUUUGGUGUUUAAGACGAGGACCGGCAGAAGAAGCCGCUCACAGACUGAAUGCGCAGCACAAGUGAUUUGAAAGCUCCUGGCCCUUUGCCACAAGCAUGGACAUUGCUGCUUCAGUGAAUGUGUCUCUCCAUUGGAAGGGAAGGGAAAAAAAAUGUUAAGGGUAGGAUACACCAUGGAGCUGCUCGCAUCCUUGGAGAGACAAAAAAAGAGAGGGCUUGAGGAACAAGCUUGUGAAGAAUAUCAGAGGGGGAGCCACUCAGCUCGGAGAUGGCGUUCCUCAAAGGUUGGCAGCGUAUAUACACCUCCUGGACAGCAUGGGCAAUGAUUGCCUUGUGACCUUGAGGUAUUCUGCAGUCUCUCCUCUUUCAAAUGCAUUUUGUUGGAUGUGGCUUUUGCUGAAAAAAGAAACCCAAGGCACAAAUGCCUUUCUCAGCAUGUCACAACUUUUCUGACCAACCCACAUAGACAAACUGGAGACCUUGAGUACACACACUUCUGUUCUGUAUAAACAGUUUAAAGUAGAUUUUAGCUUUGCACAGCAUUAUGUACAGCUUCUAUUUUUAAAUGCACAGCAAUUAACCUGAUGUGCUCAUUCCCUUUUUGCGUGUGCCCUCCAUUGAUGCUUUUGAGUUCUGUACAUGUCCAGUCCCUGCCUUAUCUAAAAAACAAAUACAUACGUACUUUUUAAAUUAGCUAAUUAAUAAUACCAAGAUUUCCCUCCCUCCACCAAUAAAUAUAGGUAUGAAGCGUGAAAAAAAUCCUCACAGUGUGUCGUGUGCAUAUUAAAAUAUGCCAGCAGUUGUGAUUAAAAUCUCUCACAAACAUGCCAAUGUUGUUGACAACUUGCUUCUAGCCUGGAGGAGGACAGUACAUCCCUCAGUUUGUGCCUCUGAGUGACUGAACAUCCCAGAGAUGCCUCUGUGUUGAGGUGGCUCAAGGCAUUCAUCAGCUCUUCUUGCUUCCUUCUUUAGCCCAUCUGCAAGACUCCACCCACAUACGAGCAAAUAUUUUGGCAGUUGCUUAUUGUACCUUGUGGAAGGGGCAUUUACUUCUCAUCCACAGCAAGCCUCUCCAUCUGUCAUUCAGGCUUCCACGUGCAGAUUUCAUUGCAACUCUAGAACUGCUCAGGGUAGGGUGAGAAGCUCUGCUGUCUAAAUAGCAUGUAAAAUCCUGCUGUGCAGGGAAGCAUAGGCCAAAGACACUACCUGUAGGGCAGUGAAGUGGAACCAGCAUGGUGGUGACGGUGACCAUGACCACGAGUGACCAUGCUCAUAGUCAGAAUUACUGCAGCUGAGUGGAUAUACGAAGCCCACAAGUCAUGUCUCGAACAUUUACUCUUAAGAUGGACUGCCAGGGGAUGGAGGAAAGGAAAUCUAUUUUCCUGCUAUAUAUGUGGCUGGUGUCUGAGCAGCAUGGGCAGAGGGCUGAUUUUUCACUCCAUCCUUUAGCCUGGCCUUUGCUUGAAAACUGCAGAAGGAAACCAAGGAUGAAUUAUGCUUCUGUGAAAACUCAGUGCACAUCUCUAAUCUGGCAAGACAGAGUAACACUUCAAGGAGAAUCCCAGAGCUGAAAAGAAACAAGAGCUAGU